ensembl:lncRNA
CUUGUGCAUGAAGCAAGACUUUAAGUUUAAAAUCACAAUGGAGCCACUGAGCAGUGAGACUAAGCGUACUCGUCAGACUUACAUCUGAAGACCAAACAUCUGUGGUGAAGUUCAUCGCGGAGUGGUUAUGAAGAAGCUCGUGAAUAUGAUCUGCCAUACGGUUGUAUAACUCCGGAGUGACUGAUCUAGAUCAGACUGAGCGACUUUCCAGUAUCGGCAGAAGAUGGUCGGUGAGGAUGCAUCAUCUUCAGUCCUGGAUUUCUUCCCUCGUUUCCUUGCUGUAUCUGGAUUGAUCGACCAGGAUUUCUCCAUGAUGUUUGUUGACGAAGUGUCUCAGAAGUUCCUGGCAAAGUGGUCAACAUUCUUCAAGCCAAAAAUCAUUGCACACUGCAAGACUCUUAAGAAUAUGGGCGAGCUGCUGUCAGGAACUGAACCUGAACCUGAGGACUACAAUGGUCAGUAUAAACUGUUUUGUAUUUUAAAAAUGUUCCAGUCUUUAAAAAAAUAAUUAAAGAGAGAUCAUUAAAUUAUUUUGUGAUGUCUUUACGAUGGGACAGUGAUGUGUCCUCAAUCCUUUUGCUGCUGCAUCUGUUCCCUCUAACCUCAAGAGGCCAGGAAAAAAACAUCCAAGAUCAGUUCAGCUCAAGCAACCAGCCAUCUUGUGAGCUGUCUUAAGGAAGGAGCCAGUGUGACUACCUUCAUUGAGAGUGCUGACACAAGACAACCAUUUCUCCUCUGCAUCGGUGAGCAAAAGAAGGACAUCAGAAGUUCUACGUUAUCAACCAAAAGGCGAACCCAUGAAGCUGCAUUAAUCACGAUGAACCCAGGCUAUGCAGGCAGGACCGAGCUCCAGGACAACCUGGAGGCCCGCUUCAGAUCCGUCUCCAUGAUUGUACCCGACCACGCCGUCAUCGCAGAGAUGUGCUCUGGUGGACUUGUGAGCUGAGGGCUUCAAGUCCAGUGAGACUCUGGCGAGGAAGAUGAUUCAGCUGUAUAAGCUGUGCAGCAAGCAGCUUUCCCAGCAGGACCACUACGACUUCAGCAUGAGAGCCAUGUUCUGUUAUCGCCAUGGCCGGGUCUCUGAAGCGAGAGAACCCACACCUGAGAACGUGGUGUUGAUUAGAGCGCUACGAUACUCCAACCUGACCAAGUUACUCAAGGAUGUUGCAGAACUUAAAAUAAUAUAAAUUGAUAAAUAGUAAAGAACGCCAAAGCUUACAUAUGGAGUAUCAAAGGUCAUUAUCACAGGAUCACUGGAAUCAGGCACUAGGAGGAAAUUCCAGGACAAAUUAGGAAAUACAGUCAAACCUUGGACUGCGAGUAACUUGGUUUGCGAGUGUUUUGCAAGACAAACAAAAAAUUUGAAUAAAUUUUAACGUGAUAUACGAGCGAGGUCUUGCAAUACGAGUACCUGUAGUACGUAUAUGAUGCUUUGUCGAGCGUCACGUGAUCACUACUGAGCUGAUGAUUCUUCUCUCACAUGCUCUGUCUCAGUCAGCGUGCCUCGUUGACUUGUAUAGUCAACAUCUGUGUGAGCAUAUACUGUUUGCUAUAGUGCUGUAACUGUUGUGACUGUGUAGUAAAUGUGCUGCGACAAUGGCACCAUGAAGAAAAAAUUUGAAAAGGAAGGCGAUAAGAAAAAGGAGAUUAUGGUGGAACUUAAGAAGGAAAUCAUCGAGAAGCACAAACAAGGUAUGCGAGUAGCUGAGUUGCGAGUAGUCAGUUGUCGAUGAAAUUGUGUCCUUGGGAAAGACCAUGGGACUGGAGAUGAAUGAAGAUGACAUUCAAGAGCUGGUGGAGGAACAUGGCCAGGAGCUGACUACCGAUGAACUGAUGGAUCUGCAUCACGAGCAACAGCAAGAGGUUAUGGGGGAGGUCUCGUCUGAGGAGGAGGAGGAGGAGGAGAAAAGACGGAGAAAUCCCUCACUUCAAAUGAGAUUAGGGAGGUGUGUAAAAUGUGGGAAACAGCGCAAAAUUUUGUAGAAAAGCACCACCCGAGUAAGACUGUAGCAGUGCGAGCAAUGAAUCUGUUUAACGACAAUGUAAUGUCACAUUUCCGCGAAAUCCUUAAAAGGAGGUAAAAGCAAGUGUCACUGGAUAGGUUCCUUGUUAACGUCGUACAAAAAGAAAAAGAUUCCGGCGAGCCAACAGACAGCAGUGAUUCCAUUAGUAACAGUGAAAGUCCC